GUAGAGCGCUCCACUUGUAAUGGAGAGGUCCCGGGUUCGAUACCCGGACCAGGCG
rnacentral:tRNA from 1 species